rnacentral:rRNA from 1 species
UCAGGAUGAACGCUGGCGGUCUGCUUAACACAUGCAAGUCGAACGGGCUCUUCGGAGCUAGUGGCGGACGGGUGAGUAACGCGUGAGAAUCUGCCCUUAGGACGGGGACAACAGCUGGAAACGGCUGCUAACACCCGAUGUGCCGAGAGGUGAAACAUUAAUGGCCUGAGGAUGAGCUCGCGUCUGAUUAGCUAGUUGGUGGGGUAACGGCUCACCAAGGCGACGAUCAGUAGCUGGUCUGAGAGGAUGAUCAGCCACACUGGGACUGAGACACGGCCCAGACUCCUACGGGAGGCAGCAGUGGGGAAUUUUCCGCAAUGGGCGAAAGCCUGACGGAGCAAGACCGCGUGAGGGAAGAAGGUCUGUGGAUUGUAAACCUCUUUUGACUGGGAAGAAGACAGUGACGGUACCAGUCGAAUCAGCCUCGGCUAACUCCGUGCCAGCAGCCGCGGUAAUACGGAGGAGGCAAGCGUUAUCCGGAAUUAUUGGGCGUAAAGCGUCCGUAGGUGGCUAUCCAAGUCUGCUGUCAAAGCAUGGAGCUUAACUCCAUAAAGGCAGUGGAAACUGGGUGGCUAGAGUGCGAUAGGGGCAAGGGGAAUUCCCAGUGUAGCGGUGAAAUGCGUAGAUAUUGGGAAGAACACCGGUGGCGAAAGCGCCUUGCUGGGUCUGCACUGACACUGAGGGACGAAAGCUAGGGGAGCGAAAGGGAUUAGAUACCCCUGUAGUCUUAGCUGUAAACGAUGGGUACUAGGCGUUGUCCGUAUCGACCCGGGCAGUGCCGUAGCUAACGCGUUAAGUACCCCGCCUGGGGAGUACGCUCGCAAGAGUGAAACUC